rnacentral:tRNA from 1 species
GCCGGAAUAGCUCAGCUGGUAGAGCAGUGCUUUCGUAAAGCAAAGGUCGCAGGUUCAAAUCCUGUUUCCGGCACCA